GUGGGAAUAAUUUAAUAGGUAGAAUGCUAAUUUGUGGCAUUAGUCGCAUGGGUUCAAGUCCCGUUUCCCACC
rnacentral:tRNA from 1 species